UAGACUCAGUUCCAAAAAUCUUCUACCCUCAAAUUCUUCGUCUUCCUACCUUACAAGUUAAAAAGAAAAAAAGUUACAUUAAUAAACAUGGAAGAUGCAGGUUCAAUUUAGUCAGUCAUAGGAUUUUCUCCAUGGUUUUGAGUUUUGGUUUAGUUCUCAGAUCAACCAGGAUUGCAAAACUCAAAUUAGUUCUCAGAUCUAUCGGUAUCACAAAACUCAAAUUACGGGUUCUGUAGCAGCUGAAUGGAGGGAAUAUUAAUCUGCAACGAAUCAAGUUGGAGAUAAUUCUGUUGACACAAUCACCAUCUUCAUCCCAAUUUAAUAGAGGGGCCAGGGGGGAGGAAUUGCACGUCAUCAGUCCCAAAAAUCUUCUUUGGAAAUUUGACAAGCUCAUCCGAGAAGGCAGACUUUACCUAACUGACAAAUUGAGUUUUACCACCACCAAGCCUGAGUUUCGUCCAUCAAACAAUGAACGAGGUGGGUUUUUUCAGUGGAACACUGCUGCGGCCACUCUUCAUGCUUACUCCAUGUCAAUUCCUCUGCAAAAAUUCUCUUUUAUCACAUAUGAAGGCCUAAACUUGAAAACGUAUCUCACCGGUAAAACAUUUUAGGGCAAUUUACAGAAAUAGGCCUGUUUUUUUUUAUGGUUUGCAAAACUAGGCCUUUUUUUUUAUUUAUUGCAAAACUAGGCAAGUUUUGACCAAAAGUGAUGGAUGGAAAGUUAGCUGCAGUUAUCUUCCAGCUGUCCAUAUCUUCUUAGCUAAAAGGACGUUUUAGUCCUUCAAAUCUUCAUCAACGACACAGAUUGCAUAAUAAAGUAAACGGCUAAGAUGUCCCAUAUAGAGUACACGUGUAGGAGAUCUAGCCACAUAAAAUCAAAUACUAGGAUUGGUCGUACUCCAACAGUCAAUUAGUGAACAACUCUAAAAAUGAUUAAGAAAAAUCCAGGAUUGGUCCGGAUGCUUGCUGCUUUGUUGCCGUAGCUCAUGAAUUGCAGGUGGAAUAGAUGUAACAGCAGCCAAUGGAGGAGGUCAUGUUGUGCUGCUAUUGGUAUACUGAUGGUUUUAGGGGGACUUGAACUGUAGAUGAAGUUUGUGAACUAUGGAUGAAGUUGCGACUAGUGGUGGUGUAUGCAGGUGGAUGCUGGUAAUAUUGUGGAACUGCAUGUGGUAUAUGCUUGUGGAGAUGCAAGCGGGUGUAUGAAGAUGGGUUUUGGAGAUGGUGGAUGGUGAUGGAUGGAAGUUGUUCAGCGAGCUUUCUAGGUCUUCCUUUUAUAAUCUCAGUUUUUCAACUUCUUAAUUAACACGAAACCAAGUUUCCUAAUCCUAGCUGAACACAAAAAUUGAACUGAAUCCCAGCCAUCCAUUAAACUGUACCAACGGCUUUCACUCUUGUUCUUAGAUGUUAUAUCGGCAGAAAACAGACCCUACGUUCUUCAGCUCAUUACCCAAUUUCAUAACUUCGAAAUCCAUGUUCUAAUCCUUGGAACAAGCCAGCUAACCCAUGGCUAGAGCAAUGGCAAAGAGAAGAGACGUGAACUGACUACUUCAAGACCUGAACUGCCGUUCAGGCUUUCUGUCGAACACCUUGUGUGUUGAAAAGGGGAACUCAGAGAUAACCAUUUUUCUGUUGUAUGAGCUCCCCCUUGACCUGCAAUCGAAUUGGAGAUAAACCCAUUCUCGUAUACCUUCUCAAAUACACAUACAUUCACUAAUCAGUCACUGUUCAUCCCUCAAAUCAAUGGUGGUAUCUCAAGUUCUUCCCUGUACGGCAGCUAACAUCUUUUUGGUUCCAAAUUUGCUUUUGAUGUGAAAUUUCUCUGGUAUGAGAAACUUGUAGUCUACAUUUCAAGAAAUUACAACAGAGUCACAGAUAAUGUACUCUGAACAUGAAAAAUAAACAAAUAAUGAAGACUAUUUCCUUGUGGCAUUUCAACAAA